GCUGCGCUGGGUCUGCCCCGGGAAGCGGCCGACGGGCAGCGCCGAGGGCCAGAAAGGAGCGGCGGGGUGAGGCGGGCGUUGUGUGCCGGCAUGGAGGACGACGCGCCGGUGAUCUACGGGCUGGAGUUCCAGGCACGAGCGUUAACACCUCAGACAGCAGAAACAGAUGCAAUAAGAUUUUUGGUUGGAACACAGUCUCUUAGAUAUGAUAAUCAGAUUCACAUCAUAGAUUUUGACGAUGAAAAUAACAUCAUAAACAAAAAUGUGCUUCUUCAUCAAGUGGGUGAGAUCUGGCACAUAAGUGCCAGUCCUGCAGAUAAAGGUGUGCUAGCAACUUGCUACAAUAAAACUUCAGACAGUAAAGUCAUGACAUGUGCUGCUGUUUGGAGGAUGCCGAAGGAAUUGGAAUCAGGCAGUCAUGAAUCCCCAGAUGAUUCAUCAAGCAACACUCAAACCCUGGAGCUACUCUGUCACCUUGACAACACAGCCCAUGGCAAUAUGGCCUGCGUUAUGUGGGAACCAAUGGGAGAUGGUAGAAAGAUCAUUUCUCUGGCUGAUAACAACAUAUUAUUGUGGGAUUUGCAGGAAAGUUCAGCCAAAGCUGUGCUCUCUAGUUCUGCAGCCUUAGAAGGGAAAGGACAAUUAAGGUUUACUUCAGGAAGAUGGAGUCCACACCACAAUUGUACACAGAUUGCAACAGCCAAUGAUACCACUGUUCGAGGAUGGGAUACACGAAGCAUGAGGCAGAUAUAUUGCAUAGAAAAUGCACAUGGACAGCUGGUACGAGACCUCGACUUUAAUCCCAAUAAACAGUACUACCUGGCUAGCUGUGGAGAUGACUGCAAGGUGAAAUUCUGGGACACAAGAAAUGUCACAGAACCAGUGAAGACACUAGAGGAGCAUUCCCACUGGGUCUGGAAUGUCAGAUAUAAUCAUUCUCAUGAUCAGCUGAUCCUUACAGGAAGCAGUGAUAGCAGAGUUAUACUGUCUAAUAUGGUAUCAAUUUCUUCUGAACCAUUUGGACAUAUGGUAGAUGAUGAUGAACUGAGUGACCAAGAGGAGCAGCAUCAAGAAGAGAAGAUUAAAGAGCCCCUUCAGGACAGUGUAAUAGCUACCUAUGAAGAACAUGAAGAUAGUGUAUAUGCAGUUGAAUGGUCCUCAGCAGACCCAUGGCUAUUUGCCUCUCUAAGUUAUGAUGGGAGACUUGUUAUUAACAGGGUUCCAAGAGCUCUUAAAUAUCACAUACUAUUAUAAUUUGUUUGGAUUAUGAUGGAAUUGUUAUCUUGGUGUACACUAUUGUUGUGUUUUAGGAAGUUUUAGGAAACCUUCACAUCUCAAGUGAAGUUGUUACAGAAUCUCAGUAUUAUUUCUGGAAACUGUCUACGUUGUGAAACACUCCUUGGCAAGGAGACUCUGGCAAACUGAUUUCUGUGCAGCAGUGUCCAUCAUUUCUUCUGAGAUGCAAAUUGUGAUCUGACUGAUCUCCCAGCACUGGCUUGUUUCAAUGUUCGAGAGAGAGAGAGAAUGGUAAGCCAAUAGUUAUGUUUUCAAAUAAUCACCUCUUAAAUGACUGUUUUGUUUUGCAGAAUGUGUAUGUUUUGUUUUGAAAAAAUAUUGUGGUAUUCCUUAAAAAUGUCAGACUGUCAAUGUUGCCACGUAAAAGUUUGUUUUAUUUUAGAUUUGGUGCUGAAAAACUUUUCUUUAUCAGCAAUUCAGUAUAUGAGUCUGGUAUAGAAUUACAAAAAUGUUCUUGAAGUCAUGUUUUUAUUCCCCAGAAUGUGAAUUAUUAAAGGAGAAAGGAAUUAGUAGUAUUCCUAUGGGGAUUUUGAGCAUGAUGUAAACGGAGUCAAUAGGAAUCUUGACCAUUUAAUGAAAAUCUUGAAAUAACAAUCUGGUUCACUUUAGCUAAAAAAGAUACUAACUUCAAAUUGAAAAAAAGAAAUGCAAAGCAACACCCCUCGGUACUGACCUGGACUUCGGUUGUGGUGUCAGUGCUAAAAUUACUCUGACCUGUACUGAAGCCCAGAAAAAUAAUGAGCUGCUUGUCAAUUUUAAAAUUAAUGAAAAAUAAGUAUUGAAUGGCAUGGAUAGAUUUGACAUUUGUUCUAGGCCAAUUCUUCUUACCUCUUACCUUUUCAUUUCUCAUAGAUGUGUGGAAGUAGGAAUCUGUUUUCACCUGUAUUAUGCUCAACACUAAAAUUAGCUGAGAACAGUUGGAAAGAAUUAAACUGGCUGACUCCUGUAUUUUCCAGCUGACAACGGAAAGUAUUGACUCUGUAUCUGUCUGUUUAGAAUUUCCAAAUCCUACAGCCUGGUACCUCUUGUAGUAUGUGAGACUGAAAUUCUUGCAGUUUAAGGUAGUCAAGGCUACACUGUUUAGGGCCAUAGUCUGUCUUGGUGUAUCACUGUGGUAGCUGUGUCUGGGAUAUUACUGAAGCAGUGAAAAGAGUAAUGAUAAUUGCAAGUGUCAGUAUUGGAUACAAGUUUAUAAUUCUACAGAAUUGCUAUUUGCUUUCAUAGAGUAUGUUGGGGGUUUUAUGGUUUUUGUGGGGAAGAUACAAAGAAAGUGCUUGAAACUGCAAUGGAACCUGUGGUAUGAGAGCUGUUCUGAAGCUGCAGAAAGUCUUGCUUUCUGGAAUAGCAGGGAAAAGAACAAAUCAGUUUUAGGGAAGCCUAGCCUCCCUGUAAAGAAAGCUGCUGAGUGUGAAGCCAUAGAUACUCUCCAGAAUAAUUUGUGCAUUGCUCCUGCACGUUCCACCUGCCACUUUGGUCAGUGAGGAACUAGUGAAGUGAAAAUGACAUAAAGUGAUUUGGAGAAAAAAACAAAGGAGAAGAAAAGGUAGAAGGAAGACUGACAAAUACAGGAUGAAAAGUGAAUUGAAAAGGACAAGUUCAAUGAAAGAUCAGUUUGGCAAACAGAAAUAGGAAGGACAGAUGAAAUUGGCAAUAAGGAAAGAGAAUGUUAUGGGAGUAAGGGUGAAGAAUUUUUGUUUGUUUGUUUUAGCUAUGUUAUAAAAGUUCCUUAAAAUCUUCCAUAUUAGUCUUCCUGCCUAAACUGAUAGAGAAGUGCUGGCUUAUAUUUAAGCUAUUUUAGUUCUGUCAUUGGAGAUGGUUCAUGGAGGGUAGUUGCUGACAAGUUUGAGAAUAAAGAAACAAAGUGACCCAUAAGCUAUUAAUCCUAAUUGAUAGGUUGUAAAGGGCCAGGAUUUUCAGCUGGUUAUUAUUCUGUUCAAGAUGCAGCAAGUGUGUGUGAACAGUUGUUUCAUUACAGUUCAGUUAUCAGAUGGGGUAAUCAGCCUGAGACAAUAGCACUCUAAGAGGCUGAAAUGAAUAGAAUAGGUGAGUUGGAAGGGAUGUACAAAGAUAUCCAGUGCCAUUGUCUGACCACUUCAUGGCUAAUGAAAAGUUAAAGGAUAUGAUUGAGGGCAUUAUUCAAAUGACUCUUGAACACAGUCAGGCAUGGGUCAUCAACCACGGGAAGCCUGGGAACCUCUGGAAAGUGUUUGACCACUUUAAUGGUAUUAAAAAAAAAAUGUAUCUAAUCUGAACCACCUCAGUGCAAUUUUAUGCCAUUUCCACACAUCCUGCUGUCGGUCACCAGGAAGAUGUCAAGCUGGCUGUCUGUUGAGCCACACUAGCUAUAUCUGCAAAAUGUAUCUUGUUUAUGACUUACAGGGAGUGUCCUAGUGAGAUCAACUCAAGAUAAUUAGAUGUGAUUAAUAAAAUAUCUGGGCCAUAUCCUCCUUUCCUUACUGACCUUACUCCAGAAGAGCUUUGAGCUGCUCUUGAGAAAAUACCGAGCCCUUCUGUUUUAGUUCUACAGCAUUCACAACUUCAUAAAGGGUUUUAGUGCUCAGCACAGAAGAUAACUUUGGGGAGAAAGAGACGAAUGAGUCUUCCUGAAUCCGGGAGCCAAGCUCCCCAUGUGGAGAUGCAUGGCAAAUAUGUGAGUUGCUGUUGCCCUGGAGCUACAGCAACAGCUGCCAAGCAGCUGGGCUGAGCAGGGAGGACCUCUGAUGUACCUUUUCAGCAAAUUGUCCAUUCAUUUUGAUUCUGCACUGAGUUCAGGAUUUUGGCAAGAGGAACUAUGGAAAAGCUUUUGAACAGAGAAUGGAUUUAGGAGAAUGUGGGAAACGUUGGAAAAUUCAGAGAUACUGCAUACUAAUAAUCAAAUAAGCAAGUCUAUAUGAGCUGAAUCCUGGGAUGAUAAUAGUUUUGGCAGACAAUUUCUCUGAACAUCUUCCAGUUUCUAAAAAUUCACAGACAACUGAGGCAAGAGAAAGACUUGAAAAACUACAGAAAUGGUGUUGGUAUUUGGAUCAGUAGUGCAGAGAGUUGAGCAAGGGAAAUAUGUUGGAAUGAAGAAAUUUUAGUCAAAUUGUGAGAGUUUGAUUUGUUUCCCUUUCAAUUUUUUUAUAAGCACUAAUUGAAAUUACUAACAAAUACAUCAGAAAUGAAGGUAACACAUCUAUGCAGGAAGGUUGUAGAUUGGCUGUUGUGUGUAACGCAAUGCACAUAGGUAUCUGAGUAUUUGUAUAGUUUCCCUGAUUCUUUUCUAAACAGAAUGAAUUGUAUUUAAUAUAUGACGAUACCUUAACUUGUCUUAGAACACACGUGAAGAGUGGGUAAAAAAAACAAAACAACACAAAACCUAAUUUCUGACCGUGGAAAAGAGCACUUGCUAAAAAAAAAGUAAUGAACCGUCCCUUGAUUUUGUGCACAGAAAGGGGUGUGUGUGAGUGAAGAAUACCUGGAAUUUGGCUUUGCAGAGGUUGUGAAAAGGUCUGUUUUCCAAUAUGCAGUUGGUGGGAUAAAGUACUCGCUUCAGUAAAUUCAGCUGAGUCUAAGUAUACACAUGCAUUAUAUUGAGCAGACGUUUCCUCUCUGAAACUGCCUCCAAAAAAAGGAUUAUGCUUCUUAGAAUAAGGACAUAACAGCACAAACAGGACAGUAUCUUUUUAAAAUUAAAAAUGUUUCUUUAUCAUUAGGAGGUUGGCUAUAUAACACAUCUGUUUGAGACUACCAAAGAGUGUUGGGUGCAUAUGUGGCUGCUGGUAGGAACUGGUAGGUAGAUGGAGCCAUAGAUACUUUGAUGCUAUUGCUUUUUUUUGGUAUCUCAUUCAGUCUGAGUAAAAUGGGAAAAAUCUGGUAGAUACAUUAUUGUAGGAAAAUCUGUUAGUUAAAAGCACAAACGAGAGCUUCAUCACAAUGGGAUCAGUUUAAUCCUUUGCAAAGCAAAUAUCAGAGAACUUCAUCAACUGUUCUGUCCACCCUGUCAGUUGUGAGUGACAGUUACUUGGAUUCAGUUUCCUAGAUGGAUGCAUAUUUCUGAUUUGCUUUAAUCAUCUGUUUUCACUGUUAAUACUGCUUGAAUAUUUUCAGUCUAUUGUUGGAGUAACUUGCAGAAAUCCUGUACAAUUUUCUACUGCAGUUCACAGACAUUUCUUUUAAAACAGAGGGAAAAGCUGCUUUUAUUUUUAAGCAUUCACGCUGCUCUAUCAGGAGGUAUUCACUUUUCUUUUCUCUUCUCCUACGCCUCAAGGCUUAAGCCAGAAUUUAAAUUCUGCGAGUUUUGGACUGGUCACUGCUGAAAACUAAGAGCAAUGGAUGAGGCCUGAGUGUGACUGACAUGUUCAUAUUCAUCAGAAAAUGGAGUCAGCAGGAAAGAAUGAGGGGAGUAAUUGUUACAUUGUUCCCUCCUUCUCUGCUUGUGGAAAAAGACAUAGGCUGCAGGGAGGAAGCUACCUGAGGUUAUUAAGAUUAAUACUGCUAGAAAUUCCAAUCAGCUCACACAAGGCUGCUCCUCAAGGCUGUCAGAUGCCUACUGCCUUCUCUGAUUCAGGUGGGGCCACAUCAAUUUUGAAUUUCCCAACAGAGAUUGCUAUGAUUUAUGAGUUUAGGAGGCUGAUAAAUAUGGUUAGUUGAAGUGUUCAUGAAAUAAUUGAAUCAGAAUAAUUUCAAUCAUCUGUGCUCAAUUUAUUUUCUGCAGUAACCGCAGGAGGGUGCAGUUCUGUGCUGGGAGCUUCAUCUCAAGGAUUCCUAUCACAGGAAAGGCAUUGUGGAACCUGGAAAAGAGCAACUUAAUUUUGCUGUCAGGCCUGUAUGACAGCCUUAUGAGCUGAUUUAAGACCUAUCAGAACUGGAGACAGAACCCAGAGUGCUAGUAACAACACUGGUUACAUAGUCCUCAGAAGAAGAGAUCUGAGUGGUUAUUGAGAGGACCAGCACAGCUUCUGCCCAGAAGGGAAUCAUCUGUGUUGUUAUACAUAAAUGAAGAUGACAAAACUCCUUUUCAGUCUCCCAGUGAUUGACUGAUUUAGUAACUUACGGUUAUCUGACUCCCAUUCAAGUCUAUGAAAAUCUGCUGAUGACUUUCAGUGGAGAAGAAUCAAACCUAGUGGCCUUCAUCUUACAAAGCUCACGCAAUUUGCUCACAGACUCAAGUGUUGUCUGUUAAAAAAAAAAAAGCAUAAUGCAUGUAGAAGUGUUGUAUCCAAAAGCAGGUGCCUCGAGCAAGACUCUAAACCACAGCAAGUGACCAGCAUGUAGACGACAGUAACAGACCAUUGCCACGUGACUGGGGCUGGUAAUGCCAUUAAUUAAAAGUCUUUUUUUAUGGAAAGGGGUUAAGACACAUACAUUCCUUUUCAACAUCCUCCCUCCUCCCAAGUUUUAAUCUCUUCCUCGAAAACACACGUGUGCAUGUUCAACCUGGUAUAGAAUAAUAGAAUAAUAAAGUGCGUAACAGCCAGUUGACCCUGUAGACCACAGGUAACGAAGAGCAGAACUGCGCAUUUUGUGGCCGUCAGCAGCGAUGUGGGGGUGGCAUGGUACCCAGCAUAGGAAAGUGACCCAGAGCAGAGGGAUAAAAGAACCUUUGUAUCCUGUUGUGCCUGAACAGCAUGAGCUGGUCUGGGGAACGGUCAUCUCUGCCCUUCAGACUACAAUUGCAUCCAGCCCCCCGUGCUAUGCAGGUUUCUUGUUCACUGGGUGAUCUUGAAGUGGCCUUGCUAAAAGCUCUCCCUGCCAUUUCCAAAGGAGAUAAAUCUACCUAGAGCCCUGGGAAGCAGGAUUCUCUUCUGUUUGAAGGCAGUGAAGGACCAGUGGUGAACUGGCAGUGAUCAUGCCAGAGCCCCUCAUCACUCCAGCCCUCAGCAUGUGGACCCAGGUGACAUGCAUGCUAUGCUCUGCUCAGGAAGAUCACACUGAUCUUGAUAUGAUGAUGCAGGACAAGAAUACAUAGACUUGGCUGGAUCAAAAGCGAUGUGCUGAGACUCUAUAUCAUCUCGGUGCUUCAGGAGACUAAUUUCUGGACUAAACAUUCUUUGAAAUGAUUCCACAUUACGAGCUGCCGUCCCCACCUUAGUCAAGUCCUGUGAUCACCAAGGCAGACAAAGAGAAGCACAGAAAAUUGAGGACAAAUCAGGGGCUUCACAGACUGUUUUUAAAUGGAAGGAAACAAAAGAAAAAAUAUCACAAUUUGUACAAGAUGGUGAGAUGGAUUCAUUUUGUGAGUAAUAAAAUAAGUGUUGGUUCUCA